rnacentral:rRNA from 1 species
UAACGGCUCACCUAGACUUCGAUGGGGUAGCUGGUCUUAGGGACGAUCAUCCACACUGGGAGUGAGACACGGCCCAGACUCCUACGAGAGGCAGCAGCGGGGAGUCUUGCGCAAUGCGCGAAAGCGUGACGCAGCAACGCCGCGUGGGGGAAGAAGGCUUUCGGGUUGUAAACCCCUUUCAGUUGGGACGAAGCCUCGCCGGUGAAUAGCCGGCUGGAGUGACGGUACCUUCACAAGAAGCACCGCCUAACUACGUGCCAGCAGCCGCGGUAAUACGUAGGGUGCAAGCGUUGUCCGGAAUUAUUGGGCGUAAAGAGCGUGUAGGCGGCCCGAUUAGUCCGCUGUGAAAGUCCUGGGCUCAACCCUGGAAUGCCGGUGGAUACUGUCGGGCUAGAGUCCGGAAGGGGCGAGUGGAAUUCCUGGUGUAGCGGUGAAAUG